rnacentral:lncRNA from 1 species
GUGACCAUGCAUAGUCUCACGAGCAUGGCAUAUGCGUUUCCUAAAUAUUUCAGGUUACCGGGAAGAGAAAUACAAUUGAACAUUCACAAGGCCUCGGCUUGGGGAACUAGGGAUGCUCAGGCCUCCACAUUUGGGCCUGCCUAACUAGAAGUAAUGGAGAACUUUCAUCCGAGGAUAUAGAGGAUCGGGGAGAAUCCUGAGUUCCUCACAGGCUGUUGGGAUGACUGUGAGGUUAAUGAAGCAAGUGUGUGUGGGGGGGGGGGGUUUACCAGCACUGAAAUGGCUCUUGUCUGGGUCAACAAAGCUAAAUGAGGGUUUUCUAAAGGGCUGAGCUACCUGGCCUGGGGAUGGUCAGCAUCCUUUUACAGAACAGACUGUUUCAACAUGCCUCCUUUAAGUUAAUCCCUAACUAGUCACUGAGGAGCCAAUGAAAAUAUAACUGUGUCCCUCUAUAAUCAUAUGUUCCACCAAAGACAAUGACUUCAAAGGAAACUUGUGGGGAUUGAAGUACUCCAUCCCAGGAAGGAGAGAAGAAGAGGAAAUCUCCCUUGAGGUUAAGGUGUGAGAUGUGCGCCACGGAAGACCUUUCAGUGCUGAGGCUUCCUGUGUCCACCUCCAGAGCCUCUCAGAGACCAGAAGAUGAUCGUCACUGCCUUUGACCCUAGCCAGAAAAACUGCUUCUGUGCUGGUCAGCACUUAACACAGAGACUCAUAGGCAGUCCGACUGCCGAGUUAAGUGACUAUUGGCUGCUCAGUCCUCAAUGGGACAUAUGCAUCAAGAACCUUCAAGGCUCAGGGUACAUUUUAGAAAGGAAGGCAGAAAAAAUAAAGUAAGAGACAGAGAAAGGGAGACAUGCUGCGAUAAGCUUCAUUCUGGAUACGACACGGCUACCAUACUUAUGAACUCAUAGCAACUGUGAAUACCUGCACAAAGUCAAACCAACAAGAUCAGUCAAUAUUCCAACACAAUGGUUUAGAAAAAAACAAGAAGACAUGAAGAUCAAAGGGGACAUGUUGGCCCUGAGGAGGAAGGAGUGAUAUGUGAUUAAUAUGCAUCUGUAUGAAAUUGUCAAUUAAUAAAUAAAAGAUUUCUUUU